UCCGGUUUGUCACCGGCAGUCCCAUUAGAGUGCUCAACUGAAUGUAGCAACUAAUGGCAAGGGUUGCGCUCGUUGCGGGACUUAACCCAACAUCUCACGACACGAGCUGACGACAGCCAUGCGACACCUGUGCAUCCUAUGUCUUGCGACACUAGCCGACUUUCACCGACGACAAAAUGCAUGUCAAGCCCAGGUAAGGUUCUUCGCGUUGCAUCGAAUUAAGCCACAUACUCCACCGCUUGUGCGGGUCCCCGUCAAUUUCUUUGAGUUUUAAUCUUGCGACCGUACUUCCCAGGCGGCACGCUUAACGCGUUAGCUCCGGCACGGCAAGGGUCGAAUCCUGCCACACCAAGCGUGCACCGUUUACUGCCAGGACUAC
rnacentral:misc_RNA from 1 species